GUGUUUGGUUUUUUCCAUUCUGGGCUACUGUAGAAACAUGGUGGUCCAACAUGGCGGCCUCCACCCUUCUGUGGAUAAUGAUGUCUCAUUUUAAGGCUUUCAGGUCCCAGGGCUGGGUUAGGGGAUUACAGGACAAGCACACUGCAGCCGGAGCACCCAAAGAAACACAAGGCAGCUGUGUCGAAGAAUGUUCCAAUGAGAUGUCCGAGCAUUACUGAAAGCUGAGGUUUGAUCAAUGGCUGUGGCGCGUGUCUGCACUAGUGAACACUUCACGGAGCGUCUGACAGAGAAGAAAGAGAAAAUCAAGGUGUGUUAUGACAUCAGGCUUGGGGUCUAGGCGGCUGGGUCACCUUUGAGCUGUUGCUGAUUAAGGGCUGGUGUUCACAGGUGAGCGGCUCCGAGCAGGAUUUAGUGACACAGGCACAGAGGUGAAAUCACCCCACUCUCCCAGCUAACGUCAAAGCAGCAAAGAAGUGCUGACCUCUCCCUCAAAUGGCCAAAGGCAAAUGUCAGAAGAUAAGUGAGCUCUGUGACUGUGCUCAGCUCACUCAAAGAAAAGUGAAGGCAGGUGAACUUUCCACAAGUCACUUUUUAAACAAUUUAUGUACACACAAAAAUAUAAAAAAGGAAGGAAAAAAGAACUAGAUAGUAAGACGCAUGAAAUACUUGGCGGGUUUUAAUCAGGUAUUUUUGCAUUUUUUCUCCUCUACAGUCCCAGACUGUGAGAUCAGAGGUUCAUAUCAUAAGUAGUGAAAAAAGUCAGUCGCUGCUCCGGGUUUAAGCCACCCGUAGUUGGUAAUCUCCUUCGGAACUGCAGGAGCUCAAAGGGGCUAAGCCUGGUCAGCACCUAAGAAGGGGCAUCCACAGCAUAUCUUCAAGUGCUCCCGGCUGCUUGGCUGCUUGGCUGAGGCUUCCUGUGUGGAAGGAACUCUGCAAGGCUCAAAAGCCAUUAUAGGCCAUGCCGCUGAAUAGAAUAAAGUAUUCCACCUGCGAUGAAGUUUAAACAGAACAUAUAACUUGAGCAUAACUUAAUAAUAUUUCAGUGUGUAACUGAUUUAAUAAAGAAAUAAAGUGAAAGAAGACCAUGGGCUCUUUACAAAAUAAAUAAAUGUAUUUAAAAAUACAGUUACA
rnacentral:lncRNA from 15 species